rnacentral:rRNA from 1 species
GAUGAACGCGGGCGGCGUGCCUAAUACAUGCAAGUCGAGCGAACGGACGAGAAGCUUGCUUCUCUGAUGUUAGCGGCGGACGGGUGAGUAACACGUGGAUAACCUACCUAUAAGACUGGGAUAACUUCGGGAAACCGGAGCUAAUACCGGAUAAUAUUUUGAACCGCAUGGUUCAAAAGUGAAAGACGGUCUUGCUGUCACUUAUAGAUGGAUCCGCGCUGCAUUAGCUAGUUGGUAAGGUAACGGCUUACCAAGGCAACGAUGCAUAGCCGACCUGAGAGGGUGAUCGGCCACACUGGAACUGAGACACGGUCCAGACUCCUACGGGAGGCAGCAGUAGGGAAUCUUCCGCAAUGGGCGAAAGCCUGACGGAGCAACGCCGCGUGAGUGAUGAAGGUCUUCGGAUCGUAAAACUCUGUUAUUAGGGAAGAACAUAUGUGUAAGUAACUGUGCACAUCUUGACGGUACCUAAUCAGAAAGCCACGGCUAACUACGUGCCAGCAGCCGCGGUAAUACGUAGGUGGCAAGCGUUAUCCGGAAUUAUUGGGCGUAAAGCGCGCGUAGGCGGUUUUUUAAGUCUGAUGUGAAAGCCCACGGCUCAACCGUGGAGGGUCAUUGGAAACUGGAAAACUUGAGUGCAGAAGAGGAAAGUGGAAUUCCAUGUGUAGCGGUGAAAUGCGCAGAGAUAUGGAGGAACACCAGUGGCGAAGGCGACUUUCUGGUCUGUAACUGACGCUGAUGUGCGAAAGCGUGGGGAUCAAACAGGAUUAGAUACCCUGGUAGUCCACGCCGUAAACGAUGAGUGCUAAGUGUUAGGGGGUUUCCGCCCCUUAGUGCUGCAGCUAACGCAUUAAGCACUCCGCCUGGGGAGUACGACCGCAAGGUUGAAACUCAAAGGAAUUGACGGGGACCCGCACAAGCGGUGGAGCAUGUGGUUUAAUUCGAAGCAACGCGAAGAACCUUACCAAAUCUUGACAUCCUUUGACAACUCUAGAGAUAGAGCCUUCCCCUUCGGGGGACAAAGUGACAGGUGGUGCAUGGUUGUCGUCAGCUCGUGUCGUGAGAUGUUGGGUUAAGUCCCGCAACGAGCGCAACCCUUAAGCUUAGUUGCCAUCAUUAAGUUGGGCACUCUAAGUUGACUGCCGGUGACAAACCGGAGGAAGGUGGGGAUGACGUCAAAUCAUCAUGCCCCUUAUGAUUUGGGCUACACACGUGCUACAAUGGACAAUACAAAGGGCAGCGAAACCGCGAGGUCAAGCAAAUCCCAUAAAGUUGUUCUCAGUUCGGAUUGUAGUCUGCAACUCGACUACAUGAAGCUGGAAUCGCUAGUAAUCGUAGAUCAGCAUGCUACGGUGAAUACGUUCCCGGGUCU